GGAGUAAAACUGAUUCCUGCAAGGAUUGGCAGCAGGGAUAACAGGGAUCAGGUGCUGGGAUCAUUGGGAUCACAGGGACCAUUGGGAUCGGGUACCAGGAUCACAGGGAUCACUGGGAUCAUUGGAAUCACUGGGAUCGGGCACUGGGAUCACAGGGAUCGGGCACUGGGAUCCCUCCUCCGGAGCUGCGGCAAUGCCGGACAUGGAUUUCUUCCCGUGUGGCGCGGCUGUAAUUGCAAAUAUUCCAUGGGAAAUAAAAGAUUGCCUUUUGGGGCUUCAAAA